rnacentral:rRNA from 1 species
AGCAUAUCAAUAAGCGGAGGAAAAGAAACUAACAAGGAUUCCCCUAGUAACUGCGAGUGAAGCGGGAAAAGCUCAAAUUUAAAAUCUGGCGGUCUUCGGCCGUCCGAGUUGUAGUCUGGAGAAGUGCUUUCCGCGCUGGACCGUGUAUAAGUCUCUUGGAACAGAGCGUCAUAGAGGGUGAGAAUCCCGUCUUUGACACGGACUACCAGUGCUUUGUGAUGCGCUCUCAAAGAGUCGAGUUGUUUGGGAAUGCAGCUCAAAAUGGGUGGUGAAUUCCAUCUAAAGCUAAAUAUUGGCGAGAGACCGAUAGCGAACAAGUACCGUGAGGGAAAGAUGAAAAGCACUUUGGAAAGAGAGUUAAACAGUACGUGAAAUUGCUGAAAGGGAAACGCUUGAAGUCAGUCGCGUCGUCCGGAACUCAGCCUUGCUUUCGCUUGGUGCACUUUCCGGAUGACGGGUCAGCAUCGAUUUUGACCGUCGGAAAAGGGCUGGAGUAAUGUGGCACCUCCGGGUGUGUUAUAGACUCUAGUCGCAUACGGCGGUUGGGAUCGAGGAACGCAGCGCGCCGCAAGGCAGGGGUUCGCCCACUUUCGCGCUUAGGAUGCUGGCAUAAUGGCUUUAAACGACCCGUCUUGAAACACGGACCAAGGAGUCUAACAUACCUGCGAGUGUUUGGGUGGAAAACCCGAGCGCGUAAUGAAAGUGAAAGUUGAGACCUCUGUCGUGGAGGGCAUCGACGCCCGGACCUGACGUUCUCUGAAGGAUCCGCGGUAGAGCAUGUAUGUUGGGACCCGAAAGAUGGUGAACUAUGCCUGAAUAGGGUGAAGCCAGAGGAAACUCUGGUGGAGGCUCGUAGCGAUUCUGACGUGCAAAUCGAUCGUCAAAUUUGGGUAUAGGGGCGAAAGACUAAUCGAAC